rnacentral:rRNA from 1 species
UAAUACGGGGGGGGCAAGCGUUGUUCGGAAUUACUGGGCGUAAAGAGCGAGCAGGUGGUUCAUUAAGUCAAUUGUGAAAGCUCAAGGCUUAACCUUGAAAUUGCUUUUGAUACUGAUGGACUAGAGUUUGGGAGAGGAUAGUGGAAUUCUAAGUGUAGAAGUGAAAUUCGUAGAUAUUUAGAGGAACACCGAUAGCGAAGGCAACUAUCUGGCCCUUUACUGACACUCAGAAGCGAAAGCUUGGGUAGCAAACAGGAUUAGAUACCCUGGUAGUCCAUGCUGUAAACGAUGAGUGCUAGAUGUUAGAAGUUUACUUCUAGUAUCGAAGCUAACGCGUUAAGCACUACGCCUGGGGAGUACGGCCGCAAGGCUA